rnacentral:rRNA from 1 species
CUGCGCGGAAGAUGUAACGGGGCUAAACCAUGCACCGAAGCUGCGGCAGCGACGCUUAUGCGUUGUUGGGUAGGGGAGCGUUCUGUAAGCCUGUGAAGGUGUGCUGUGAGGUAUGCUGGAGGUAUCAGAAGUGCGAAUGCUGACAUAAGUAACGAUAAAGCGGGUGAAAAGCCCGCUCGCCGGAAGACCAAGGGUUCCUGUCCAACGUUAAUCGGGGCAGGGU